AAGGGUACAAAUUUUCUUAUCUCGACACAGGGCACUGAGGCCAAACGUGGCCCGUUUCCCAGCUGCUAGUAGUUGUUUGGUGCAGGCUGAGAGCUGCGUGCCUGGGCCGUAAUGUAGCCCGAGUUAUUGUGCCGUCUCGUUACCCGUCAGUACCCUCAAACACGCCCCACAUAACCGGUACUCGGCUUCCACAAGGCUGCUCCCGUGCUGUGCCCCAAAAAAUGAGGACUUCACACUUGGCUGCGUUGGCGCCCAUUCCCGUCGCCUUGCAAUAGGCCUCAAGGAGUCCGAGUAAGCUUACACCCUGCUCACGGAGGAUGUUCCAUCGGUCAGGAAGGCGCACACGGCAGUCGGUAUCGUGGGCCUGGAUGUAGUGAACGAACACCUCAAUGAAUAAUCCGAAAAGGGUGACACUAAGGGGGCACCCUUGCUUUAUGCCCCGCCCCACGGAGAAUUCAGGCCCCAUCUGACUACCCAACUUGACUCGAACUUUUACGUCUGCGUAGCUGGUCUUUUAAGUGGAGGUUUUGCUCGUCACAUGGGUUUGGCGAUUCACCCGUCGGACAAUGUACAUCCCAACCUAACGGUCACUUUGGGUGAUGGUGGGACUGCGACUUCGGUAGGGUUUGCCGAGGUACCUAUUCGCUUGGACAUCAUACAACCCAUCAGCUUGACCACACACACAUAUACAUACACUCGGGGGGGCGGCUGGCAGGCGGCUGGCAGAGGUUAAGGCCUGACUUCUGCUCCCGGCCGACCCGGGUUCAAAUCCGCCAGCCGGCUCCUCGGGUGUUUGAGGAGUGUCGAAAUGGGAGGUGGCCCCCCAUCUUAUGGAUGGUGUAGGACGUGAUAAAAUCAACUUGCGAGCUGACCAGGAACAAAGUUGAUGCGCCGUUGAUCCGCUAGAUUUGGUUGGAUGCUGGUGGUGAGUUGCCGAACCCAACGAAUACAUUCUGAAGUCGGAUGGGGUGACGGAUUAGGGUGCCCCUCUAGCAGGGGAGAGCAGGGACUGCCUCGGGAAAGGGGGCCGCUGGCGAAGUUAACCACCCUGUAACAACAUACAUACACUCUCUUGCACUUGGAUGUGUCGGACCGUCUGUCUUGCAGCCACUCUGUGGACCACUAUCAGGCUACCGCAGCUCGGUCGCCAUCAUGAAGGCAGCUGCUGUUUUCAUUUUGUUACUUGGUGUUGGGAUGACAGCGCUGUGAUUGAGCUGACCUUGAACUUGUUGGAGCAAGGGAUGGAUGGCAACAAGUGAUAGGGAACGGAAAUGUGGCGGGUUGGGCUAACGGGCGAGGGUGAACGGGAUGGAUAUAGGGUGGUAGGGAGCUGGGCGGGGCGCGAUCUCACUGCUCACAGCAGUGCUGGGUGACGAUGACGGUGCUGGUGACAGCGAGGGUGAGGGCGCCACGCUCGUUAGCAUCCUUGUCAUUGUGUAGGUGGUUGACGAUGACCUCGAAAGAAGUAGCAACGGAUGGGUACAUGCAGGUCAAGAAAAAGAGGAAGUCAGGUGUGGAGGGGGUUCCGCAACGUCGAUGUCGAUGUCGGGUACUUCAAAAGCUCGGCCCCAGGUCACCGAGGAUGGUAUUUCAGAGGACGGCGAGGCCAAUUGAUUGGCGCUGGGGCUGCAGGGAUAGUCGAUGAGCAUUGGAAUGGCUCCAGUUCAGAUAGCGACAUGCUUUGACGCCGGUACUUCUACUUGGGAAGGUGCGUGGGUCGCCUAGGGUAUCCAGGCACUCCCACCGGGCGUCGAGCGGCCUAGCAAACUCUUUAAGUAUGCUUCCCACUGGCAACCUAACGGUGGCAUAAUGCGCUAUGAGGUCGUCACCACGCAGACCGGCUGGGGGCUCAGCUCCCAAACUCCUUAGGAAAGCUAGGACCUUGCUCCUCGUCCCGCACUCAGCAACACCCCCCCCAGCCAGCUCAAGGUCGGCAAUGAAGGCCCGGUGGCGCAGUGUCCCCGGCCUCCUGACAACUGAGUUCUGUUCGUUUGGUGCAGGCUGAGAACUGCGUGCCCGGGCCGUAAUGUAGACCGAGAUAUCGUGCCGUCGCGAGAUGUUACCAGUCAGUACCCUCAAACACCUGGCCUCUUGAUAGCAGAGUUCCAGAACCUUAGCCCCAUUGGAUUGGCCCCAUGGAACUGGAGCGGCAUUGACCCCAUGGAGAAGGAAAGCCCAAAAGGCAUCGCCAAGUAGCAGCGACAUACAGAUGAACCAGGUAUCCCGCAAUCCGAUUGUUGAGCAGCAGUUUAGUUUGUAUAGAAGCACACACACAGGAAAAUGCCGUAAGGGUCCGCCAUGCUGCCGUAUUGACCGGAACGGAGCCUCCUCUCGAAGUCUCAAACCCAACCAGUAAGGCCCACAGUGCUGUGCGCGGUUUGCGCUCGUCACGGUGCUGCACUUGAGCCGUUCGGGCUCCAGUGUAACUAAUGCUGCUCCAUGUGCUGACUCUGAGCGCCUUCCUUCCGCACAUCAUGAGGACCUGGGCCCUACGAGCCAACUUUGUCAUUGUCAUGUCGGCUGGAUGCGGCACGAGUACGGAAACGUUCGGAUCAACCCCCCAGCUCUGGAUCCUUGGUGGAAGCUGAAGCACUAGGGCGCAUGCACGGAUGCCAUUGGGGCAGCUCGAGAAAUCCGAGGGUGAUUCACGUGUUGUUCAAAUGGUAUCCAAACUGAACUUAAACUUGUCGAGCCCUAAAACCCUUCUCCCAUCUCCAAUACAAAGCCCUCCGGGUGCCCUGCCCGUCAGCUCCGACGCAUGUGUGCCCCAUGUGGCGCUGCCCCAGUGGAGGAAAGACCUGCACACAAACACACACGUACACACAGACACACGUACUCACACAAUUAGGACAGCGUCUCGGGCAGUAUCGCAAACCGUUGCCAUUGCGCCCUCAACCAACCAAUCAACGCCUCUCCAGGCAACAUACAACAGGCCGCAGGGAACAACUUCCGCCACCACCGCCAUCAUCGUCAGGCCAACAGACCCCCCCUUUACCGGCAGUGGGCCAGAUGCAGUAAGACGGUACAGGGUACAUUUACACACGACCCGACAUCGCUUCGCUUCGCUCCCGAAUUGCGUGAACUGGUGGACGGACGCUGUCAAAACACCCACGCACGCGCGAGCUGCGGUGGUGCGUCCUCACUCGCCUCUCACACAACGACAAAUUCUCCGCCACCUACACACCUACACAAAAAAUAUACAUACAUAUAUACAUACAGGAGUACAGCUGCGGUAGAGCGAUCCGAUGGGCAUUCGAGCGGCAGUCCCACACGCGUGCGUGGAAGGGGGAGGUAACGGAGCAUUCUGUGUGCCUGCUAAAAUGCUGUAGGCGCUAUAACACACAUACACACAGCUCCCGCCGGUGGCCCGUCCAUCCCCCGAGGGACGACCGAUCAGCCACCGCCCCCCUGCAGUGGCACAAUCCCUGACACGGAGCGGUGCCGGUGCCGGUGCGCCCCCGGCUAGGCUGAUGGAGUGGGCCAACCCCCGGUUUGAGGAGGAGAGGCGGCCGCAUCCCUACAGCGGCCCUACAGCGCCCCAUCACAAGCGCAUCGUGGCGCCGAACUAACACACUCUCAGUCAGUGGAGCAGCAGUACCCGGCGGCAACAAGAGGUCGCACAGUAGCUAGCACUCGCUCCCUCUCGUCCUCCCGUAGCGACACGGCCCCGGUUGAGUCUCUCGUCUCGACCCAGCCCGCCGCGUGCACCCCACCCCACCCCACCCUCCACUCCCCCACCGGUUCCCAGGGGGAAUCUCAGGGGACCCCAGGGAGGGGGGAGAGGCUAGCUCUCCGGCGUCAGUUGGCGGUUGGGAGUUGUGCGUUGCCUGUUCUGUCCUGGUUUGGCAGCUCACCCAACCGCCACCCCGGUGAGGCAAUACCUCCCGCCGCCACUUUGACAUGUAGGGUCGCACAUGCGACGGACCCGACCAGGCCCUCCAGGCACUAUUAGGUCCACUAUUGCCAAAUGCUGCUCUUAGGAAAAUCUGAAUGACAUGAAGAAAGAAUGCCGUACCAAUCCACUUCGAAUGUACGUGGCUGCCCGAAUCGGUUCCACCGUGGCCACCACCACCACCGCCACCACCACAGUGAUGACGGCGGUGAUGAUGAUGAUGAUGACGGCGGCGCACAGGAGUCCUGAAGCCAGCAAGCCAGCAGAAGCUGGCGCCCGUCCACAUCACGCAACAUCCGAAAUUCCAGUUCCUCCAAAUAAUAACCCUUGAUUCGAAAAUCUUCUCCUGUGCGUGUGUGUGUGUGUGUGUGCGUGUGUGUGCGUGUGUGUCUCCAUGGGGGUGAAAAGUAGGCGGGAGAAAGGGUGGGAGUGGGGGGUUAUUCCCGCCAUCGCCGCUUCGAGUAGUGGUGUCGGCAAUAUGCCCUGUACGGAACUCCACCACCACCACCACCACCACCACCACCAUCUCAGCCCAGCCCACCCCCUCACCCACCCGGCCUACAGGGACUGACCCCUCCCCGCAACCGCGCACAUCGCAUCGCCACACCGCACCCGCCACCACCCGCCGCCACCCUGGUUGCCGGGUGGACCCCCCGGGGGCUCCAACUGAGGGCCUUCCACGUCCCUUGCAACCCUUAUAACCUUCCCCUGAAGUGAAGGGCAGCGCAGGGCAGGGCAGUUCAGGGCCAGCUAGCGCCCGCCCGCCCUCCACUGCGCCUCGACGGUGAUGGAAACCUCCGAGCUCUAUCUUGAAGCCACCACGGCACUAACCCCCCCCCCUCCCCAAACGUGAGAUACCAUAGGAAUCCCCAACUAACUAACGAACUAACUAACUCCCCCAAAUACAAAACAGCAUUUUCCCCUUUCCUCGCAUCCAGCACGUUAACACAUACUACAGACGUACGUACAGCAUACGAGUCGAAAACACCUCCUACCCCCCCUCCCCUCCCCGCACAAUAUCCACCUUCCUCCCGACCGUACUAUCGGUCAGGAAACCGCCACCACUACCCCACACGCCCUGCAGACGAACCUCCUGCCACAUCGUACAUGCGGCCGUACCGUGCCGUACCGGCCACCUCACUGCAGGACUCAAGUGCUGUAGCUAUCACCACUUUACCAAUACUUCUAACACUACCAGAGCUGCUACUGCCCCGCCCCCGCCUGCAGCCGUCGCAUGUUCCAGUGCAGGCCCUCCCGCACGCCGCUGAACCAGUCUCGUGAUGCGUCCUUGGAGCACACCGUCGGUACCGGCCAGGCGCUCAUGCGAAUGACCACCGCGUCCCCGGCGUUGAGCGCCUGACGGUCCUUGCCGUCGAAUGAGCACCACAUCUGGGCGCGACUGUUGGCGGGGACCUGCGUUGUUGUUGUUGUUGUUGUUGUGGUGGUGGUGGUGGUGGUGGUGGGAUCGAUCAAUCGAUCGAUUGAUUGAAUGAUUGGUUGGGUGGCGGGGAGGGGAGGGGAGGGGAGGGGGUCUGUGAGGGCAAGGACGGGCUGUGAGGGCCGCAGGGCAUCUCCGGUCCCAGGAGGCGACGCGACAUGAGAUGGAUGGAUAUGUUGGAUAUGUUGGAUUUGAGAGGUCCAUCCAUUUGAGGGAUCAUCGAGUUGUCCUGCCAGCUGAUGUGUAUGUAUGUAUGUAUGUAUGUAUGUAUGUAUGUAUGUAUGUAUGUAUGUAUGUAUGUAUGUAUGUAUGUAUGUAUGUAUGUAUGUAUGUAUGCCUACAGAAACGCACCGCACCGCACCUAGCACCACCUACCCACAACAUGUCCCCCCCCACCUGGUAACACCCCCCCGGGCCCCCCAGCGGCACCCCCCCCGGCCCCCCCCCGCCCACCUGGACGCACAGCGACACGUGGUCAGGGAAGAUGAGGGGGCGGAAUGACAAGCUGUGCGGGCAGAUGGGGGUGAACAGGAUGCCGGGGACCUGAAGAGACGGGGGAACCCCGGGGGGGGGGGGGAGGGGAACGAGGAGGGCGGCGAGGAGGGAGGGGCAGUGGGGGAAUAUGUCACAUACAACAUGUCGCAGCAAUAUCUUCUCCGAGAGCGAACGGGCGAACGGCCGUGCCGACGUCCAUUCGUGCCAUUGAAUUACCGACUGAGCAGCUGAAGGAGCCAAUGUGUUGAGCAGCCGCCGCCGCCGCCGCCACCGCCGCCAUGUGACACGAGGACGCCCAGCGGCCCCUAUGUGGGCGGUACCACCGACCACCGAUAUGUUUUUGGCCCUGCCAUGCGCCUCUCCCGCAUGACAGCCGUCCCCUCAGCGCGUUGACGUCCAGCGCUGUGUCGAAGGGUGUUGCUGCUGCUGCUGCUGCUGUCGUAGACGUGUCGUACUACCGCUGUAGCGAAAAGGAGUUGUGUUGUUGUUACAGAGUGGGAGGCUUCCGGGCCAAUGGAACACAUUGAGGCUGUGUCGUACCCCUGGCCCCCGGCCCCCCGUCGUCUCGGACUGAAACCUGCCGCUACGUGGGCGCGAGGUGGUGUGCGAAGAGGCGCUCCCGCUACCCCAAGGCAACGUAAUACAGGCAGGUGCACAGCCCGGCCGAUGGCGGGGCGCGGACCGUCGAAAAAUCGUGAAGUCUUCUGGCCCCCCCACCCCACUCCCCUCCGCUUCAGGCUGUAAUCCCAACAUAUUACUCCGACUGCUGCUCGCCAAUUCCUCCUCCUCGCCUACCGCCGCCCCCGCCCGCUCCCCGGGAAAUCGCCAUCCCUAUACACACACGUACACACACCCUCCCCCCUCCCCCUCCCCCCUCGUUCGUCUUUCCCCCUCCCCCCCCCACACCUGCGGAUGGACCAUGGACCCGCCGGCCGCUAGAUUGUAGGCGGUGCUCCCCGUGGGGGUGGCCACGAUGAGGCCAUCACCCUGCGGGGGGGGGGGGGAAACAGUGCAGGGGGAGGGGGGAAGGUGUGAGUGUGUUUUACUAGAGCCGCUAGCAUAGAGGCUGCUGGGAAAGGGAAGUGACAAAGAAAGGGGUGUAUGUGCGUGUAUGCGUGCGUCUAUGUGGGGGGUGCUUGUGUGUGUGUGUGUAUGUGUUUUGGAGGGACGGGAGAGCGUGAGGAAGAAAGGUGAAUGUGUGUCUGUUCAGCACGUGUGGCCCCUUACCGCCUUAACCUUCCUCCCCCCCCCGUUCCCGUUCCCGCUCCCCCACCAUACCCCCGGAUGGAUUACUAGCGGAACCGCACCUUCAUCCAACCUUACCCUAUCCCCGCAUUUCCCCCCCAGCACACACACACACACAUACAUACACACGCACACCUGCACAUGCGUCACGAAGGUUCCAUCGCAGUAGCACUCCAGGUUGGUGAGGAAGGAGGAGAUGCCCCGGUCGAUAACCACCUCGUUCAGAACCACCCACUCGCGAGGGGCAACGGAACCAGCAGCAGCAGCAGCAGCAGGGGGAGGAGGCGGCAGGAGUGCCCCGACGGAGGGCCCCCCAGCACCCUCCUGGCACUGGCCCUGCCCAGGGGGGCCCCGUGCGCAGGCUGCUGCUGCUGCUGCUGGCCCCAGGCCGCCGCACUGCCCCACCUCAGCUGCCCGAACUAUGUGGCAGUGCAGCCGGUGUCGCAGCAUGAUGGGGAAGCCGCCUGCAGGGGCCCGAGUGGCAGGGGGAGGGUGAUUGCGGUGGGGGGGGGCGGAGGUUAAGGGAACAACAACUGCCGGCAACGCCCACAUACUUGCUAAGAGGGGGAAGGGGGGAUGCAGGAGCUUGCAGCGGGUUAGAGGCACGCGGCAGCGUGAGGGGCCCGCAGUAAGUGAGGGGGAAGAGGGAGUGAAGGGGGGGAGGGGGGGGAGGGAGUGAAGGGCGGGAGUACAAGGGGGGAGUGAAGGGGGUGAGGAAGAAAGGGGUGAGGGCAAAAGGGGCCGAUGAAUUUCCAGCCGCCGUGCCGCUGCAUCACGCGAGUGAAGGGGUGGGGGAAGGGAGGCGAGGGAUCUCGCCUCCCCNNNNNNNNNNNNNNNNNNNNNNNNNNNNNNNNNNNNNNNNNNNNNNNNNNCCCUCCCCCCCCCCCGUUCCAACCUGUCUCCCCCCUCACCCCCCCUCACCCUCCAUGACGUGAUGCAGCACCUCCUCCGCACUGCCCGGAUCGAAGGGGGUCAGGAAGCCCAGUGAGCCGAGGUUAAACGGCACCACGGGGGGAACGCUCUGGUUGCCAAAGAUGUGACACGUCCACAAAACCGUGCCGUCACCUGUGCCGUACAUGGUGGGAGGGAGCAGGCAGGAGAGUGUGGCGGUGGGGGUGGGGGUGGGGAGUGGAGCUAGAAAAGGUGGGGUAUGGAUGGAACCAGACGCCGUUGGCGGCGCAUUGGCUAGAGGGGGCUUUCCCCCGCCCCUCCCCCCCCCCGGGGGUUCAGGUGACCCGAAUCCCGUCAUGACCCCAUAGGGCCCCCGCUCGGGGGCUGAGAAGUCGCAAGGAGGGGAGGUGGUGCGCGAACUGGAGAACGACGAGGUGUGAGUGUGUGUGUGGGGGGGGGGUAAGGGGAGCCACAAGCCGGAGCUCUGCUGGCUAAUCCCCCGUCCGUCCCUAACCCCCCACUCAACCCCCCCCACACUCAUCCCCCACUCACCCCCCCACUCACCCCCCCCCCACUCACCCCCCCGCGAUACCCCCCCACUCACCCCCCCACUCAACCCCCCCCCACUCAUCCCCCCGCGAUACCCCACAAAAUGGACUCACCUCCCAGCACCACCACGAAGUCCACCGCCGCCGCCACAUCCCCGGGAACCACCUGGCUGUGGCAGUCAUCCCCCUCAUCAGCCGGCCAGCUCAGCAACAUGGGAACACCCGUGUAGCAGCCCGGCAUCAACACGCCCUCCUCCGCCUCCUCCGCCUCCGCCUCCUCUCCACCACCACCACCACCCUCCUCGAACAGCUCGCCCUCUCCUGCCUCCACCCACCCCUCCUCUCCCUCCUCCUCCUCCCCCUCCAUUACCCAACCCUCCCCCCCAACCACGCCUCCGCUCCUUCCGCUACUGCUGCUGCCAUCACCCCGCUCCUGCCCGCUACUGCUGCUGCUGCUUUCCGCGCCUGUGGCCGGCAGCGGCGCUCUGCGCCGCAUGUACGAACUCCCGCGCCGCUGAAGCACCGCCGGCGGCGGCGACGGUGGUUUGCAUGCGAGUCCCGGCCAGCCCCUCAGCAGGGACGGCUCCACGUAGGUCGCCACCCCCCGCUGGUGCAGCCAGGCCAGCACCCGCUCGAAGGUAGGUCGCACCCCCGGACUGGGCUUAGCCACCACCAGCACCGCGGAGGGCGGGGUCACCCAGUACAGCGCCACGAAGGCGGGCUCGGGGCUCAUGGCCUGACAGGUCCGGCAGGAGGGCUCGCUGGGGCCGCCGCCGAGGGGAGCAGCAGCGGUCGCCGCCUCCAGCGGGACGGCCGCCGCCGCCGCCUCCUCUGGCGCCGCUAGCGUCGGCGGCAGCGGAGGACGCAGCAACGUGUCGGUACUGCCGGGUAGCGGUUGCCCCGCCACUGCCACUAGAGGUGGUGAUGGUGGCGCUGUUGCUGGUUGUGAUGGUGGCGCUGCUGCUGCUGCUAAUGGCGUUGACGAGGGGGUACUGGGACAGCUGCGCACAGGUGGCGGCACACCCCGGCUUGGAGACGCGCUCACGUUUUCUACAUCGCCCCCUGACGUGGCCGGCAUGGGCAUGGAACAGGAUCCGAUCCGCGGCGGCAGGUGGUGGUCGGGCCCCGGGUGACCAGACCCAUCACCAGGCGCCGCCGCGCCCUCGUGCGCCGCAGGGGACCCCGCCGCCUCGGAGGUGACGACGCCAAACGGCGCCAGCGCCCCCGCCGCCGCGGCCGCCGGCUCGUGCGGGGGCAGCAGCGGCACCUCCCACCGCGCCAGCGGCGCCGCCGCGGCGGCGGCCGCCGCCGCCGCUGCGCUCAUCAUUCCCCCCCCCGCCCUCGGCGGCGACGCCACUGCCGCCGCGCCCGUGUGCCUUGGCGAGCCCGGCGCCAGAUUACACGUGGCCCUGUUACACCUAAUGAGGUUACUGGACUGCUGUAUGGAGGCCAAGUCGUCCUGCAGCUUGGUGCGCUGCUUGUGGAGGCUGCCGGCAUGCCAGGACAGCUCCUCGUGAAAGGAGCCGCCGCCGCCAGGCACCAUACCCCCACCCCCACCCCCCGCAGCUGCUCCGGGGCCCCCUGGUGCUGCCGCUGGCCCCGUCUCCCUCCGCGGCACCCCCGAGCCGGCAGACAUGCCCAUCAGGGCGGCUGAUAGCGGCGAGCGCGCGAAACCCACACUCUGGGUACGACCCACAUGGCUCGACCCGGAUCCGGAUCCAGAUCCGGGUACGGAAUUGAAUGUCGACGGUGGCUGUGUGACGGAACCGAAUGUCGCGGAACCCGGCGGCGGCGGCGGCGGCGGCGGAGCGCUGGCCGUUUGCUGCUGCUGCUGCUGCGGCGGCGGCGGGGCCGGUGGUGGUAGCGGAUGGUGAGAUGGUGGUUGCAACGGGGAGGAGGCUUCGUGGAGGGUGGUGGUGGUGGUGGUGGUGGUAGCCCCCCGGGGGCCCUGCGGCGCGCGCAGGUGGUGCUCAUGUUGCUGUUGCUGUUGGUGGUGGUGCUGUCGGGCAACCGAGAGCUCCUCCUGCCCUGGGCCUGGACCUGGACCUGGCUCCGAAAACACUACAGUCACGUCCGCAAGGUGAUGACCCUCCUCCUCCUGCUCCUCCUCCCCCUGCACCUGGACAGCUGCCCGCCCGCCCACACUGCGACCACCGCCGCUCACGCGGUCCUCCCCCGGCAACAGCACCGCCCGCCCGCCCAGUCCCCCGGUACCACCACCACCACAACAACAACCAGCACCUCCCCCCCCUUCCCGCCGCGCCAGCUGCCCCUGGCCCUGCUGCACACCACCCGCCCCGCCGUCCCUGUCCCUGUCCGACGAAAACGAGGUGGUCACGGAGCCCCGCGAUGUGGGAGUGGAGGAACAGGACGGAGUCAAGUCCGCCGAGGAACCGGCAGCACCAGCAGUAGCAGCAGGGCGAGGAGGAGGGGGAGGGGGAGGGGGAGAAACAGGAGGGCCCGCCGGCAAAGGCCCAGCCACGGACACUUGCAUGCCCGCCAGCCGGGCGUCCAGACCCGCGCUGGACACGGAAUGGGCUCGGCCGGCCGGAACAACAGCCUCAUCUUCACCGCCGCCGCUGCCGCGGCUGCCGCCGCCACCGCCGCCGCCACCGCCGCCGCCGCCACUGGUCAUCAUCGCGAUGGCGGAUGAGGUGUUGGCGUAGCUCUUAGCGCCCGGUGGGGAGCUUCCUCUCCCCCGUUUCCCCCCACCGGUGGUGUCGGUGCCGGUGCCGGCUCGUGUGAGCUCGCAUGCGGAGACGCUCUCGUGAACCUUGGACGGGCCCGUGUGGGCUCCGGGCCCGUCAGCUCGGCUCGUCCUGCUGCCGCUGCCUGCUGGGGGCGGGAACAUGGCGCCGUAGUUGGACAGCUGCCGCAAACUAGCGGAGUCACCUGCGCGAAUGCACCGCCGGGGGAAGGGUGGGGGAAGAGAAGCUCAAGAGGUAACCUGCAGGGGCGUCCAAAAUCCUAAGUCCUAAAUUGCUCAAGUCCUUAGCGAUGAAGGGUUGGGGGGGAAACACGAACCACAAACGAGUGAAGCUGGUUGGGGGGGGAGAGGGAAACAGCGCGGGAUGAGGGUGCGGGGGGAAGUGGGGUGAUGGUACGGGUUAUACAAAAGACGGCUGCCGGGACGGGAGCCCCUGAUCAAGAGCAGGGUAGGGAAGGUGGUGGGAGACACGGGAACCGAUGCCCCGGCGGCCAGAUGGGGUUUAAGGUUAACAAACAUGAGUGACAUUUGUGUGUAUUGUGUGUGUGUGUGCGUCCAUCCACCCAUCCAUCCACACCUCCCCUGGCCCUUCCUUCGCGCGAACCCCACCCCCCACCCCCAACCCCCAAUCCCCCUCCCACCCCCAACCACACUCACAUCCCACCCCCAACCACACUCACCGUUCCCUCCUCGCAGCACCAGCUUGAACCCCGCUCGGCUGUGUCCCCGAGUGCUGCCUCCCCCGCCCCCUCCCCCUCCCCCUCCCGUCCCCAUGCUGCUCAGACUGCUGCAGCUUGUGUUCCGAGUGCCACUGUCCACCGUGGCCGGGCCCCCUCCUCCAGCGCCGGACGCCCCCUGCAGCAGCUCACUGCCACCGCCGCCGCCAGCACGCCUACUACCCGGCCCAGCAACCAGCAGCAGCCCUUGGUGGCCUGCAGAUGCAGGUCCAUGCCCCACAUGACCAGGGCUCCACCUCAAGCCACCCGACUGCUGCUGCUCAGCUGGGCUGACUUGCGCCGAGAUACUCGAGCCGGGGCCAGGUCCGGGCCCUGGCCCCGGUCCCGGGCUGGCGGAGGUGCGCUGCAGGGCGAGGGAGAGGUCCCCCUCCUGGAUGCCGUGACUGGCUCGCGGGGAGACGGCUGCAAAGGCGCUGAUGGCGGCUGCGCUGGCUGCAGCUGCGGCUGUGGCUACGGCGGUGGUAGAGGAGCAGACCUGGUUCAGGUCGCUGUCGACCUGGCUGCGGGGAUAGCCUCCUGAGAAAAAGGGGGGGUGAGUCGGGCGGUGGUAGAGGAGGGGCGACUGUACUUGGAAGUGCGGGAUACGUUUAGUGCGGGAUACGGAAUGAGGGGCAGGAUGAGCGCGGGGGUAGCAAACACGUAUGCAAGAGAGGGUCAGGGUGAGUUUCUGUGUGUGUGUGUGUGUGUGUGUGUGUUAGGAUUGAUGCUCCCGCUGCCCCUCUCCCCUCUGCCUGCAGGAGAUGAUUCGGCGAGGUGAUGAGGCCUGUUGAGUGCCUGCUGUUGCAGGUGCAAGAGCUGCUCACCUUGCAAGCCCUGCGCGGCGGGUGCGGAGAGCGCGAUUGCCACAGCCAGCAUGGAGCUGAAGUGGUAGGCGGGAGCGUCCGAAUUGGGUCUGCGAAAGGAAUGUACCAGCUGUGCAACUGGGCACAUGGAGUAAAUCAGGGGAAGCCAAGCAAGGUCCGCACCCGUAACGAGUAACCCGACGGAGAGAUGGCGGAAAGCAUUUCGACUGUGAACAUGAUGCAAUCGUCAGCAUGCGGCGCAGCCGCACAUUUCGUCGGUGUUCUUCCUGCGCCCUGCCGGUGGAUGGACCGCGUAAGCCAUUGACGCACGGCUCAUCAGAGCCCAGGGACAGCUUAAGAAGGAUCUGUGAUAAUAACUACCUCGAUCGCCAAGCUUCGCACUCCACGCGUGCGCGGCUUGCCUCCUGCUCCGAACGCUCGGCUGCUUCUCUGUAACCCCGAACAACAUCCAGAAGCUCUGCAAUUAUCAAGUCGUUCAUGAAUUACUUGAUGCUUCUAUAGCAAGAAACGGAACAGAGCAAGCUGCCUCGGUAAAUUGUAGUCACCUUGCAAAGUUGCCCUUGCCUUGUCUUCAAGUUCCAUUGUGACGAUUUGUUGUUACAUGUAGCUACAAAGCCCAACAUAAAUUUUAUUACUAUGGCCGGGGUUAAUCAGGCAUCAGGACUGUUCAGGUCAAUAGAAAGCCGUAACCCUUUUCGUUCUAGGGGCCAAUCAAAACCACCUUUUUGUCAUGCAUCAUUUUGUCUGACAGUUACAUCAAUUCAUCGCCAAUCAUAGUAACUCAUACACCAAUUCUUAAGGGGUCAACUAGCAAUUUCGUGUAUGUCCUUGCAGCACCUUAGUGGUUGCAAACUCCACGAAAGCAACACACACGGUGCAAUUAAAUCAUGGCGAUUUACGGAUUCAGGAUCCUUAGGCAUCUGCCAGUAAAAAGCUGUAUUUUCGUGUUAUUUCACGACCAGUCGACGCACGUUUAUGGUGCUCCGCUCAAGCUCUGAACCUGCGCCACCGUACUCUGGACAUACGAAUCAAAAAGUUGCUUCAUCUCCUGCAAAUCUCGUUCCGCCUUGCAACGUAAAUUAUCCCCCACCGCCAGCUGCUGCUGCAGUUCGGCAAUGUGGGUGGCCGCCUCUGCAAGCAGUCGCCGGGCCGAGGACUCCGCCACCAUCGCAGUUAGGCUUCCGUUAUCACCUCCCUCAUCAAAACUCUCACUACCGCCUGCGGCACCUUCCUGAGCCGGCCCUUCCUCGCCCCGGAUACCCCUCUCCGCUGCUUCCAAUUCCUCAGCCUCUGCCAGAUCCUUUUCCGUUUGAACCAAGCGCUCCAGCAGGGGUCCACCUUGGUUCCGCAGCCUCAGCCCGGUUAGCUCCGCCCGCAGCCUCGAGACCAGGUGGCCGUGGUUGUCCAGGACAGCGCUCAUCCCCUCGAGCUGUGUCUCAAAAUCGUUUCAAAUCAGAUCAGGUUUCGUAGAAGGACACAGAUAAGACCAGGGUUGUGCCGGGGGAGUGCGGGCCGGUGGAGCGGGAGAAAGAGAGUGAGGAACAAGGUCGAUUGGAGAACUCAUGGGAGCAGAAAACGGGUGGGAUGAGAUGUUCGAAGAGCAGGACCGCACAGGCGGCGGCGAGGUAACAGCUCUUGUGCAUCACAAACGCACGCACGUGUGUAUACAUUUUGACUACCUUAGCCGGGGAAGGAAACUGCGAGCCGUCUAUGUGCCGUGUAUGAAUCUUCGGCGAUUGAGUUCCCAUCGACCGCGCUGCUUGAAAAAGGAGAACCAAUGGUGAAGGCGCGAACGCAGGCGCCCCCUUUCCGACGUUAAAGAAAGAAGUAAUUUUUAAAGUAUGCACUCCCCGUGGAUGGAAAAUCACGGGCAACCGCCCCAACAGUAAGCAAGACCUACCUGUUCCUUCCUCCGGGCAGGAAAGAGAGCAUCCCCUUCCGUCCUCCCCCCCUUCUCCCACUAAGCCCUCGCUCACUUGCGCCUGCCGCUGCGCCUCUGCAUCCGCCUCCGCUGCCGCCAGCCGGUUCCGGAGCGCCCACACCUCCCGACCCGUAGACUCCAGCAGCAGCCGCAGCCUCAUGGCCUCAGCAGCUGCAGGGUCCAGCAGACCAGCCGCAGCUGCGGCAGCAGCAGCAGCAGCCCGAGCCGCAGUCGCGUCCCGCGCAUAAGCCUGCUCCGAGUCCAUCAAAUCCGAGCCUCUGCCGCCGCCGCCGCCGCCGCGGAUUCCGCCGGCGGUUGUGGCUGCUAUGGCCUCUCCUCCCGCCGCCAGCAUCAUGUCGUACAGCUGCCGAGGGCCCCCUGGGAAGUCCAUUGAUAUGGCCGUCGGGAAGGGCCCCACAGCCGUGUCUCGUCCGUCCCACGAGCGGCGACCAGGCGCCCCCGCGGACGUCGUACCGCCGCCGCCGGCCGCGUGAGCCCCCAGGCUUGUGGCUCGGGUGCUUAGCUGUAGCUGACCCCCCCUUGACGCCACUGCGGCGCUUGGCGACCGACUAAGCUGCAGCGGGGAGGUGCUGGGGCUGGCCGGCGGCGUCGCGGGCGUUCCGGAACCACCGGAUGCGUACGACAGCAGGCUGCCGCCGCCGGCACCGACUUCGUCAGCGGCGGCACGGCCACCGCUGCCGAACAUUGGUCCAGGCCUGCCGCCACCGCUGCCGCUGCCAGCCACAGACAUGCGACGUGGCGGCAGCGGCGGGAGGUCGUACGAGCCCAGCGGCAGUACGGGUCGUGCCAAGGCGAGGCCGUCACUGAAGGAAGCCCGUCGGGCCCUGUGAAGCCCGCUAGCCGCUGCAGCGUGUUGCUGAGACUGGGACUGGGACUGGGACUGGGACUGGCGCUGCUGAGUUUCCCGUGGAGACGUUUGUUGAUGUUGGUUGAGGAGGACACAGGCGCGGGCCAGCGCCUGGGUGAGCGACUGCACCUGUGUGUGCGGUUGUGUGUGUAAAGGGGGAGGGGGGAGAGGGAAAGAUGAACCACGAACGAGUGAAGGUGCUGCCAAGGAAAGAGGGGGAGGAAAGACGAACCACGAAUGAGUGAAGCUGCUGCCAAGGAAAGAGUGUACCAGACGUAGAACUGACUAAAAGGCGUCCCCCGAAAGAGGGGGAGGGGUGAGGGACGGAUACGCGGGGAGGAACGCGGAAGCAGGAGCUGGCCAAGUUGGGUUGGGGGCUUUGGAGGUAAGGUCGCCUCAUCACUACUACUACUCUACGGCUCAACAACAAUAUUCAGCCAGGUAAGGGAAUAUCAGGAUCCAACACCCGUUAUCCGUUACCCGUUAUAUACACCGCUUCUUAUCUGCACGGUUUCCAACUAGCUGGUACGACAUCCAGCUGGUACGACAUCCAGAAGCAACUGUACGCUGUACGGUCGACAACGUGUUGCUGGAAACCUGCGCUAUCCGCUUCCGGACGACACUCCGUUACGACUACCACUACCGCUACCGCUACUACGACUACAUGUCGGGAUCUUUAGGGAUAAGAAAAUAUUAUCUUGUCCGUAAAGACGGGCCGCGCAAAGGAUUAUAACUCAAACCAGUCGUUCCUUCUUCGCCUUGGACGCCCGGGCGGCGGCUUCGACGCUCCGGGCCCCGGCACUUUCCCUUGGUGGUCCUGCGAUUUGCAUAGCUGCAGAGUAUGAUUCACCUCCCUCCACUUCCCAUCAUCUCUCUCCCGCUCCCGCUCCCCCUCCCCUCGCUGCCCCCCUCAACCCCCUUUACACACACACACCCACACCUGGUCCUCCCUGAACGCCAGCUCCGCCGCCAUCCCCGCCACCUCCUCUUCCCGCCGAGCAGCCGCAGCUAGUUGAGUCCGCAGACACACCACCGCGGAAUCCCGCUCAGCUAGCUGCUCGUCCAACAGCCUCCGCUCGUCCACCUCCAGGGUGGGGACCACCAGUCGUACACGGGCCUAGGCGGGUAGGGGCAGGCGGCGUCACCGAGGGGAAGGCGGGCGGCCCCCCCGACCCCGACCCCGACCCGAAGAAGAGGAAAGUGCGCGAAGGGAAGAUUCCACCAAGCAGUAGUCCUCCUUUCACAUGUGGCACACACAAUCACACACACAAUCACACACACAAUCACACACACAAUCACACACACAAUCACACACAAACACACACACACGCGCAAUCUGGGCAGGCGCCUCCUAAUCUGUUCGCGCCCCCGGCAGCGGGCCUGUUUGGCCUCCACCGCUUCUUCCUCGAACCGCUAAGCCCCCGGCAGAGCCCACCCCACCCCCCUGGGCCUCAUGUCUUGGCUCGCUCCAGAAAGAAAAGUAAAGAUUGGCAGUCCUCCUAGCCUCCAGGAAAGAGGGGUUAAAGAACAAACCUCCUCCUCCACAUGCACAUCCGCGCACACGCACGUCCCCAACUCCUCCCUACCUCCGCCUCCUCCGGCCCCACCACCGCCGCCAGCCGCGCUUCCGCUUCCGCCUUGGCGCGUAAGGCAGCUCGUUCCCGGGCUAGGUGCUCCGAAACCUAAGUGUACGACAAGGCGACGAGGCCCGCAGGCGGAAUUCCCAUGCAAGGAGUGAUUUUACGUCCUGACUACCCAUCCUGGCCAACUUCUUGGCCCCGGGGGUAGGUCCUUUGCAGAGUGCCGUACUACCCCGGAAUGUACGAUAUCAACCCAGGGGCCCCCCAUCCUGCUGAUGGGCGUGUACGUGAGUUUCAUUGAGCUCUAUUCUAAGGAGGUCUCCUCGCCUCCUUCCUGCACCUCCCUUUUCCCCUCCUCCCCUUCUUCCCCGCACUACGCGCGCAUACAUACGUACACACAUACACACGCACUCUCUCUCACUCUCUCUCCCGUACCUACCUGCUGUGUGAGGUUGUUGACUUGUGCCAGGGCAUCCGCCAGGGCCCCCUGGAGCGCCGAAUUUCGUCCUGCCGCCUCCACAUGCAAGGCCCUCAGAGCCGCCCGCACCUCCCGCAGAGCCCCCUCCCUGGAGUCCAGGACCUGGCGCGCGGCAGCCAGCUCCGACUCCGCCUCGCCCAGCUGGGCCUGCGGGAGUGGGGGGAGGGCGGAAGGGAGCGGGUCGGAUAGGGGGGCCUCGUCAGCAGCACAUACACACAGCACGCAUACGGCACAGCAACACGUGGCGCCGUACACCACCAGAAGGCCGCGUCAAGAUGAAACCCCUCGAUAAGGCCUUUAUAUCCUCCCCUGCACCAUCCCCUCCUCCCCUUCCGCCUCCCUGCGCUCAUUCAUUCAUCCGCACACAUACACGGUAAAGGGGGCCGGUGGACAACACAGGCCGCGCAGUCCCCCUCCCCCUCCCCCUCGCCCUCCCCCUCCCCCUCCCCCUCCCCCUCCCCCUCCCCCUCCCCCUCCACCCAGCCUAAGCCCCCUAAUCCCCGGAGCUCCCCCCCCCGCUCACCACCAGUUCCGCAAUUGCCAAGUUAUGCAACCUCAGGGAGUCCGGUGGCAGCCGUGAUCCCCCCCCUCCCCCUCCCCCUCCCCCGCCCCCUCCCCCGCCCCCUCCCUCUAUCCGCGUCAGCUCUCCAGGGGGGUGGCGUGGGGCGGUGGAGAGGCGGCCGGUUGAGGAGGGGGAGGGCGCCUGCUCCACCCCCCCGGGGAACGCCCCGAACAGCAGCUGGCCACCCUCUCGGCUCUGAGCCUGAGCCGGAGCCUGAGGUUGGGGUUGCGGAGGCUGGUGGGCUUGCAGCCGCACCAGCGGGGGGGAGCCCAUCACUCCGAGGGCGCCGCCGCCAUCACCGUCAUUACCGCCGUUGCUGGCAUCGGCCGGGGUGCGAGCGGCGAGGGGCGCGGAGGACAUGCGGGACGCCGGCGGCGCGGCGGCGACGGCAGCGGCAGCGGCGGCAGCGGCGGUGGCUUCGGGGUGCAGGGCCGGUGUCGUGGGGCCCUGGGCCGCCACCGUUCGGAAUGCAGUCCCCAUAGCCGUCACACAGCCGGCGGCGGCGACGGUGUCGGGAUCGUCCAUGUCCGGGACGCGCUUCGCCGCCUGUACGGCAGCUGACGCCAAGUUUUCUGCCACGCACGCCGCCGUCAGGGGCGGCAGGACGCUGCCGGCGGCGGCACGUACGACACCGGAAGCCGCCGCCAGUGACACCGCCAGCGCGGCUUGCUGCUGCUUUGCGGGUGAAAGCCCGACGGAGGUGGCGGUUUGCAGCGGCGGUGGUGGUGGUCGUGGUGGUGAUGCCAGUGCAGGCAGCUGAGAACCAGGAGCUGUCGCGGGUAUGCCGCUGCCGAUUGCCAUGGAGGCUGCGGCUUGGGGACUUGUCGGCGGCGACGUUAUCACGCCCUCCUCCCUGGCUUCCGCGGCCUCCUCCGUCUCUAUGAGCAUGUUUGCUAGUGACGCCACUCGCGGCAGGUCAAUCGCCGCCGCAGCCGUCGCGCCGACGGCGACGCCGGCGCUGUAGCCGCUGUAGUACGCCGCCGCCGCCGCCGGGGACGACUGCGGUACACCCGCCGCACCCAGCGCUGCCCCCUGACCGAUUCCCGUUACUGAAGCCGCCGUCGCGGCAGUCGCCGCCACGUGGUCCAAGUACGGCAUCAGCGCACGUGCACCUGCCGUACGGCGCGGUCGAGCUCCAGCGGCGGCCGGCGUCAUUCCCUGCUCUGCGCUCCUAACUACCUCCCAGGUGGCAGACGGCCCGGUGGACGCUGCCGUCGCCGGCGGAGACGAUGGCGUCACACCUCCGUACGGGCCGCCGUACAUGCCGUCAGUUAUCUCGCUGAUGGGACGCGCAGCGGAAACGUCCGCGACUGCGCCAGCAUGGGUUGACUGGCUGGUGGCGGCGGCCGCAGUUGGGGCGGGUACGGCAGGUGCGGGUACGCCAUGUGUUGGCACCGGCGGUGGCGGCGGCAGGUCCCCUAGGAUAUCAGCCAGGAGAUCGCUGAGGCGGCCGGGGGGGGGAGGGGGUAAUUAUGGGGGCUUGGUGGGGGUCAAAACACGCCGGAAGCGCUCUGCUGUCGACCUCCAAAGCACCGCCACCCCACCCCACCCGGGGGCGAAGGGGCCCCGAGGAAAGCAAGACCGCACGGCUAAACACGGCUAGACAGAGGACAGACAAACCUACAGGCUGACGGAAAGAGGCAUAGACAGACAGGCAGACAGACAGGAAAAUAGACAGGCAGACGGAGAGAGACAGACAGACAGACAGAGAGAGACAAACAGACAGACAAACAGACAGACAAACAGACAGACAGGCAAAUAGACAGACAGACAGAGAGAGACAGAUAGACAGCAAACAGACAGACAGGCAAAUAGACAGACAGACAGAGAGAGACAGAUAGACAGACAGACAGACAGACAGACAGACGAACAGACAGACAGGCAAAUAGACAGACAGGCAAAUAGACAGGCAGACAGACAGACCGACAGACAGGCAGAAAGACAGACAAACAGACAGACAGGCAGAUCGACAGACGGACAGACAGAGAGACAGACAGGCAGACAGACAAACAGACAGACAGACAGGCAAAUAGACAGGCAGACAGACAGGCAAAUAGACAAACAGACAGACAGGCAAAUAGACAGGCAGACAAACAGGCAAAUAGACAGACAGACAGACAGAGAGAGACAAACAGACAGACAAACAGACAGACAAAAAGACAGACAGGCAAAUAGACAGACAAACAGAGAGAGACAGAUAGACAGACAGACAGACAGACAGACGAACAGAAAGACAGACAAACAGACAGACAGGCAAAUCGACAGACAGACAGACAGAGAGAGACAGACAGGCAGACAGACAGACAAACAGACAGACAGGCAAAUAGACAGGCAGACAGACAGGCAAAUAGACAAACAGACAGACAGGCAAAUAGACAGGCAGACAAACAGGCAAAUAGACAGACAGACAGACAGAGACAGACAAACAGACAGACAAACAGACAGACAAACAGACAGACAGGCAAAUAGACAGGCAGACAGAGAGAGACAGAGACAGACAGACAGGAAACAUAAAAGGACACACGGCGAAGCAGUAGGACGGGGCGGCGGCCCUAAAGCGCAUGCCAGCUGCAGAUGUUGCAGGACAGCAGCAGCAGCAACAGAUGGCGGUUGUCGGACCGUUCCUCUCCGCCCCCCCUCCCCGCCCAACACCCCUCUUCUCCAGCCCACCGGCAAUAACGCCGUUCCUCCGCAUCCACCGGAGCUUCAGUCGUACCGCUGACGCUGACGCGGUACGGCCGUACGGGUGACGUUGAUGUCGACCUACGGGACACCUCCGCCGGAGACGACAGCCCCUCCGCCGCCGCUGGCAGGGCUGCGGCCCCGCCCCCACCAAUAGCGAUAGGAGGGCCCGUUACUGACGUUGCCACCGCCUCCGAAGCGAGUUCGGUUCCAAAUCCGAAUCCUUGUGCUGCAGCCGGCAGCCCCAUAGUUGCCCCCGAGCCGCCACCGCUGCCGCCGCCGCUGUCACCUCCGCCGUCACCUCCGCCACCUCCGGCCGCAGCCUCAUCGCUGAUUGGGACUGUCGUUGUCACUGACGUUGUAGUAGGACCCAGUGACGGCGGCACCGCGGGCGCAACCGCCGGCGGAAGCUGGAACUCAAAUCCACCGCCGCCGCCGCCGCCAUUACCUCGCUCCGCAUUGACGUCCCCCUCCUCCCCCUCCCCCUCCCCCNNNNNNNNNNNNNNNNNNNNNNNNNNNNNNNNNNNNNNNNNNNNNNNNNNNNNNNNNNNNNNNNNNNNNNNNNNNNNNNNNNNNNNNNNNNNNNNNNNNNNNNNNNNNNNNNNNNNNNNNNNNNNNNNNNNNNNNNNNNNNNNNNNNNNNNNNNNNNNNNNNNNNNNNNNNNNNNNNNNNNNNNNNNACUCGCGUCUCCAGCUGGCCCUUGUCACGUUGCAGGUGCUCCACCUGGGGGGCGGGUGGGGGGCCGGGUGGGGGGCCGGGGGUAAGUCGAACCACCGGCGAAUGGAGCAGAUGCCCAAGGCGGGUGUACUCCAGGUGCGGGGUUGCGUGCGAUGGGGAGGGCAGUGGUGUAGGGAUUGUGUGGGGGGGGGGACCGCCCGGCCCUCACCACUAACACUGCAAGCGAGACGGCUGCCGAGCGGGCGGCCCCAAUCAGCCAAGUCGGGGUCGGGGUCGGGGUCGGGGUCACAGCCUCCUGGUGGGGACAUCCCCCCGCCACCCCCCACCCCACCCCCCCACCUCACCUGCGCCCUCAGCUGCUCCAGCUCCUCCCUGAGGUCAGAGAUCAGCCGGUCGUCCAGACAGUGCAUCUCCAGAGCGGUGACACCCCCCGCCAGACCGUACGACUCCAACUCGGCCUCCACGGCAGGUCGCAGCUCACCCCCCGCACCCGUCAGGGCCUCCAGCUUCUGUGUGGGGCCCCGGCAGGGGGGGAGGAGGGUGCAGAGGGAGGUGCAGAGGGAGGUGCAGAGGGAGGUGCAGAGGGAGGUGCAGAGGGAGGUGCAGAGGGAGGUGCAGAAAGCGAAACCGCAAUCGCCCAGGACGUUCCAGGACAGAGGCAGGAUGGGGAUAUGAUCGCCAUCAUCACGAGGCCGUAAGGUUUCGAAAACGUCAGAUGCCGAAAAACUGACUUCCAAAGCGGGUGGGUGGGGGGUAGGGGGUUAGGAAGGCCGGAGAUGAUGAUGUCGUGGAGAGCGAUGGAAAGCUGCAGAAAGGGGGAAGAGGAGGUGCAAUAUCGGGGAGGAUGGCGAAGGGCUCCGUCCGGUGUAGGGCAAGGCGACAGGGAGGGAGGAGUGAAUGCGGGGCCCUACAGAGGCUGUCGUGAGGUGGUACGGCGCCUGUCGGCCCCCCGUAACCCACCACCACCACCACCACCACUUGCUACUCGCUUGGCGACAUACAUACCGUAACCAUCCCCACAUAACAUCCCCACAUACAAUACAUAGGCCUCUCCCCCCUCCCCUUUCCUCACAACCAUUAUCAACCCCCUCCCACCUCCCACCUCCCACCUCCCACCUCCCACCUCCCACCUCCCACCUCCACCUCCCCGCCCCACCUGUAUUGCGGCUAUGAGGUCGCUGCUGGGCCCCGGGGGGGGCGAGGUGGGGCGGGAGGCCAUGCGGCUCGCUCCCUCCCCACCGAACCAGCCCAUCUGCUGCUGAUGGUGGUGGUGGUGGUAAUGGUAAUGAUGGGCCGCCGCCACCCCGCCGCCGCCGCCGCCGCCGCCGAACCGUGGCACCGGGGAAUGAGACAUGCUGGCGAGGAGGCUGCCACCGCCGCCGUACCUGCACGCCGUACAAUGCGUAUGCCGUACACUUAAGAUAUUGCAGUACACUGCAGUACACUGCAUGCAUGUCGGUAGUUUAUUUCUCCUAUGUACAUGUCAUAUCUUCAUCACUCUGCCCAACCCCCCGACGCGACCCCUUUUCCCUUCCCCUCAUCACAUCCCCCGCGACCAGAUUGAUCUCUUGGGCGUGCAGGAUGAAUGGAUGAUAACAAUUUUCGCGGGAGGUAAUGAAUGGAUAUGGGUUGUUACGCAACUGCGCACACAACGAACGCAAGUAGCUCAGUCGCAACGGGGGCCCCCUCCAUCCCCCUCAAACGGUGUUUUCCCCCAAACGCCCCGCUGUGCAUCUGGCCCUGCUGAUGCUUCCCUUCCCUUCCCUCCCCGUGCCUUGCCCUGCCCACCGGACCAGGAGCCCUGAAGCCCCCUUACCUCCCCCCUCCCCCCUNNNNNNNNNNNNNNNNNNNNNNNNNNNNNNNNNNNNNNNNNNNNNNNNNNGCCGGGUGGAGCUCGAGCCCAGAGGCUCCAGGACUGCACCUCCACCACCUCCACCACCUCCCGGUGGGGAAUUACAGACACAGGCAGGGUUGAGGGUUGAGGGGCCAGGGGUGAAGGGCAGGGGGUGAGGGCAGGGGGUGAGGGGUAGGGUUGAGGGGUAGGGUUGAGGGGUAGGGUUGAGGGGUAGGGUUGAGGGGCCGGGUUGAGGGGCCGGGGUGAGGGGCCGGGGUGAGGGGCAGGGUGAACAACAACCGGCGCACCUAAACAACCAAAAUGAACAACCCUAAGUUAACAAUUGCAGUUAACCAGCUAACAAUCCAUAUAACGCGCCUCCUGCACCUCCUCUCCUUUUCACCCCUUGAACUCACCCACGGAGUACUGGGAAAUGCGCCUUCCGAUAACGCCGCUUCCUCCUGCGCCUCGGCUCGGCAUCGCCAUGUACAUCAGCCCUCCUCCGCCCUCACCCAGCCCCGAACUGCCGCCUUGAUGACCCGUGGACAUGGAAGUGAGGGUGGGGAUGUUCAUCAUCCCCAUCCCCAUCCCCAUCAUCCCCGCCAUAUCCUCCCCUCCCAACCCCACCUGCACCCCACCCACACCCACACCCACACCACCCGCCGCAGCUUCCAUUGCCGUUGCGGCGGCCGUGUCGAAUACGGACACCAGCCGACAGCCUGACAACGACGGCGUGUCCCUACCCACCCCGGGUGCUGCUUCUGCCAGGCCGCUGUACGGAGGCGGUUGUCCGGACGACGGUGGGGGUGCGGGGCCUGACGGGGCGGUUGGGGCUGCUGCGGCCGCCAGCUCCCCUCCAGGGGGUCGCUGGAGUGGGGGGAGGGCGGGGAGGGGUGCGGGGGGUGCGGGGAGUUGGGAAGCAGAUGCAGAUGUUGGCCUAGGGGGUAGCGGAAGGAGGGGAGUGGGGCCCAAAUAGACGGUGGUGAGGCUGCUGCCGCUGCCGCCGCCGCCGCCGCCGCCGCCGCCCGGCGGAACGGCCACGUCUGAUGCCUCCAUCGCCGCCGCUGGCGUCGCUGCUGCUGCCGCCGCCGCCGCCGCCAGGGAGUUCGUACUGACGGUGCCGGGACCGGAUGGUGGUAGUCGCGGUGAUGGGGACGGGGGGAGGACUGCAGCUGGGGACGACCUCAUCGUGCUGGUGGCGGUGGUGGUGGUGUCCGUGUGGGAGACGAGGGGUGGGGGCCGGGGGCCGGGAGGGGAAGCAGCGGCUGCUGCUGCUGCUGCUGCUGCAUGCAGCGCUGACAGAGCGUCGCACAGUUGCUUUUGCAGAGAGCGCAUCUGUACGGGCGGGGGUUACGGAUGUUGGGGGGUUAGGGUGAGGGCAGGGGAAUGGAGGUGCAUGGGGGGAAGGGGAAUACCCGGGGGGGGCCCAAAAGCGAAGGAUACAACUGCCGAUAUCCGGGGGCAAAGACGAACCCCGAGCGAGUGAAGCUGAUGCCAAGGGAAGACUGCUGCGGUAGACGUAAAGAAAGCAUACCGAACCAGUCGGCAGUUGUUCGGUGGGGGGAAGGGGGCGGGGAGGGGGGAAUCACAGGAUGCAAGGAAACAAGGAAUGGACUGCUGCCACGGCGGUGGUGGUGGUGUCCAAGAGGUCCGAAACUGCCCCUAGGGAGGGGGGGAGUCCUAAGCGGUGUGAUGUCAUCGGUCCGUGGUGGGAGGGGAGGACGGGGCGGAGGGGGAGGGCUAGUAGCUACCGGAACGAUAUGAUUUGGGUUUCCAUGAGAAGUCUCAGUCACAAACCGAAAGGACCCCUGCAAGUACGGAAAGGUAAGCUUCAUGUACGAGUAGGGCCGGUCCGGGCGCACUACCCCGAAGCGAAUAAACCCCAGGUGUACAGAACAACCUACGCUUCAGAACCUUCAGUACUCCCCCCCCCUCCCCCCUAAGUACGUAGCUCUGCGCGCAAAACCCGAAGUAACCAGCACUGUCACACCACCAUCAUGACUCACAACGCCAUGCACGCCACCAAGCCGUACAGGAUCCACUCCGAACUCCGAAUUCCCAAACAUAAAACUUAAAUUAGUUUUUGAACGUUCCGUUACGCUCUCCUAGCAAAGUACCAGGACACUACCACACGGGGGUAGGACAUGGAGGACGUCGCGACAUGACGCCAUGGACGCGGGGGCCCCCUCCUCCACCACCUUCACCUCCUCCACCCCCUUACCUGUAUCUUCAGCUGCUCCUUCUCCGCCGCACUGGCCUUCAGCUGGUGCCGCAGCAGAUCUCGCUCGUAAGUCAGCCGGCGGACCUCAAAACCCGCAGCAGUGACCGCAGCGGCGUCGGUAGCUAAGGCGGGGGGGGCGGCGGCGGCGGCGGCCGCCGCGCCAUCCGGUGCCAUCAGCACGCCCGUAGCCGCCGGAGGAGAUAUCAUCGUACUGUCUGUCGUACCCGCAAACUGUUCUGACUCCGGUUCAGCUGUUACAGCAGCACCAUCAUCACCACCAUCACCAGCAGCACCAGCAGCAGCUUCCUCCGCUGUUGCCGCGGAGGGGGUUGUCGUCCUCAGCGGGGGGGGAGUAGCCAGGUCGCCGGGUGGUGCGGCGGGUGGGCGAGAGGGCGGCUGUUGAGUGUUCAUGAUGGCGGUGAUGGUGCUGGUGGAGCUGCUGCCCCCGAUUGGCUCUCCCUCUUCUUCCUCGCUGCCGGGGGCCCGAGGAGUCAGUCGGUUGAGGGGGGGGUGGGGAAAGCGGCGUCAGUCGGGAAGCGCUUCCGGAAAUCACCAUCCACCGUCCCAUCAGGUGGCGGUGGCAGCGGCAGUGGCGGUGGUGUUGGUGGCGGUGUUGGUGGCAGUGGCAGUGGCUGAUUAUAUAGUUUGGUCGACCGAUAGAAUGACCGAGAUAGACAAAGGGUCGGGACGCCGCCGCCAAGCGCACGUCCGGAUCGCUUCCGGGACCCGCACUCACCCUCACUGUGAGAGGCCCGCCGCCCGCCGUCCAGGAGGAGGUGUUGGUGGUCCUUGAAUCCUGCUCUGCUCACAUAACAUAACAUCGCAUCACAAGCGCGUUGCGCUGACUCAGCCACUUGCGCGUCUAAGCACGCACGCACAGAAGCGUGCACGUCCUGUGCUGUUACUUUGCUAACACAAACAGAUAUACAGAUAUACACAUGCUGCUUACGAUGUAGUCUUGCUUGCUUGGGCAGCCGAAAUGCCUCCGCCGGCAGCCUCCUUCCCUUUUCCCGCCUCGAACAGAUUGCAGCUGAGCAGAGCGCAGACACACCAACGCAGAGAAGAAGAUUAUUUCUAUCUCGGCUUUUUGUCUUUCUGAGGAAGCGAAAUGACGCGCGGACAAGUCCGGAACCUGGGAAAAAAACAAAAAAUCAGAUUUGUGACCCGCGGGUCAGUUGUACCUUCAUCCCUCUCAGUGGAUGCUGCUGGUGCGGACGAUCCAUAAAGCAAUUCUUGCAGCGGAGUCAGAACGGCAGAACGACAACCCAUGAAGACGACGACGCUGUGUACCGUCCUGCAAAAGGCAUUCAUGGCCUCCAUGAACGACCUGAAGGUGAAAACAUUUAUUUCUAAUGUACAUAUGCAAUAUGGCGCACGGGAGGGCCUAACAAUGACAAAAUGGUGGCCGAAAGGGCUGGGCCCUCCUCGUCCCCCGGGAGCUUAGCGACCUCGCACACCGGUGGCAUGUCGCCUCCCAGGCAUCUUCUCGUUCCCAAAUAAACAACAGGAUACCUUUCACCGCUAGUGCACUAAGGGACCAUUUUCUUGCACUCAGGUGGCAGAGAAAGAGAAAGAAGGCGCGAUUCUAUUCAGACGGGCGGUUACAUGAGGGGUGGUCAUGAGCUAUAGGCGCUAUACCUGCUGCUACAGGCGCCGGUACCGAUUUCGGUCCGAUGAUGCGUGUUGCUGCUUUGCCAUCAAGCGCGGCGCCUGCCGCCGCCCCACACAAUUGACCAGGUCAGGGUCUUUGAGAAUGCGGGCACUUUGAUUAUUCCAGCUGGCAUUAAAAUUAUCGGGAUCGCUAAGAAUGCAGAAACGUCGCGUGGCGAUUUACAUGAUGCUUCUUCUGCUCUGCUCUGCUUUGCUCUCCUCAUUAUCGAGUUCCGCCGUUUAUCAGACUACGUCCCAUAAACAUAAGCAUCCUCAGCACAGAGGAGACUUAGAUUAGGUUCGUAUCGGGAAAGCUUAGCGCCGCGUGCGUCCGCCGUCACCGCGCCAGCCGCCGCAUGCUUUGUGCUGGGUGCGGUCGCCCCCUCCCUCGUGGGUGGCUCCUAUGUGGCACAUCACCCGACCCGCGGUACCCGAACACGCCAGCUGCUUCGAUGCCGAACAACUCUAGCCGCGUUGGAAAGAGACUUCGAAUCCUCGUAAGGAUCUGCACUUGCAAUCUGCAUUCCCACACCAACAACAUUUUGUCGUGCGGGCAUCCGAGCCCCGAUCCGCUAAUGGCACCAUAACACAGACAGUAUUUCCUUUGCUUACAUACUUCUGGCGGCGGCUGGCAGAGGUUAAGGCCUGACUUCUGCUCCCGGAGUGUCCAGGGCCAGAUCCGCCUGCCUAUUCCUGGAGUGAUUGAGGAGAGUUGAAAUGGUAGGUGGCCCCCCAUCUAGUGGAAUGUGUAGGACGUUUAAAUAUCAACUUUCUAACUGACCAUCAACUAAGUUGGGGCGCGGAUGAUCCGCCAGAUUUGGUUAUACUGAUGGUGAGUUGAUGAACCCAACGAAUACAUUCUGAAGUCGGAUGGGUUGAAUGGAAUAGGGUGCCCCUCUCGCAGGGGAGAGCAGGGAACUGCCUCGGGAAAGGGGGCCGCUGGUGAAGCUAUACCACCCUGUAACAACAUACAUACAUCUGCCACGCUGACAGGUGGAUGGAUACCUUUGUGCCAAUUAAGAAUGGUGAACACACAAUUGGGAUGCCGUCAGCAAUGUUGAAGCAGAUGUAAUUUCCAAGACUCGUCCAGCGUGGGCGUCACCGCACGGCAAUUUUUUAAUGUAAUGUAAUGUAAUGUAAUGUAAUGUAAUGUAAUGUAAUGUAAUGUAAUGUGUAAUGUAAUGUAAUGUAAUGUGUAAUGUAAUGUUACAGAGUGGGAAGCUUCUGGGCCGCUUUAUCACAUUGUCAGUUCUAGAUCAUUUAUCACCUUAUAGCACCAUCCACCACUACCACACUGUACUUCGCCAUACGAACUGUAAGUCCAAGGCGGCGGAUCCAGCCUUCGGGGACCCCUCCUCAUCCAUUCACCCGAACACCCGAAGAGACGGAGGGUUCGGCAAUCGCCACCAAUCCAGCGUGCGAAUCUGGUCCAUCAACUGUGACCUCAACUCCACAUCUCAGCAGCUAGCCAUAAUCUCGCGCUCCCGACUAAUUCGGGGGUCUCCCCAGGAAUCGAACCCAGGACCUUAAACCGCUAAUUGCAGUAGUGUCAACCCAGACCAGAAUUUUUUUAUAACUUGUACAAAAGCUAAUAAAGCUAAACCAGCUGCUUCAUUGCUUUUUAGAUGAAGAAAUCAAUGUUACAUAUUGUCGAACAUGCUAGCAAGAGGAGGGAAGGGGAAGGGGGAAAAGGCGAGGGGUGAGAAGGGAGAGAAGGAGAAGUGGGAAGGAAGGAGUCUCACAGCCAACUAGUCUCCCAGGAUCCCAAACUUUCAGGCUCCAAGAUUCUCAGGCUCCCAGGAUCCCAAGCACACAGGCCCCCAGUCUCCAAGGCCCUCUGGCCACCAGUCUUCCAGCCUCCCAGUCUCGCCGGCCCCCAGCCCCCAGUCUCCCACUCUCUCAGUCUCCCAGCCACCCAGGCUCUCUGGCUCCUAGCCUCUCGCUCAGGCUCUCCGGCCCUCAGCCCCCAGUCUCCCAAGCUCCCAGUCUCCCAAGCUCCUAGCCACCCAGGGCCUCGGGCUCCAAGGCUCUCCAAGAUCGUGCACGAAAUUGUCCCACACAACUUUAAUGAGAAGUUCAAUCCUGCCUGUAUGCCACACACACAGGGACCAUGCCAGAGCCCAGCCACAACCACUGCCACCACCGAAGGUGUGAUGAACAGUGUUGUCACCCAAGUGCAGCAGCAGGUAUGCAGUGUACCAUAACAUGUCAUUUUGAACAGAUCCUUGGAACAAACAGUGACCCGUGGGGAUGACAGCCGCUUGCUGUUGCUCUGCUGCAUCGGGAAGCCCAGAGUUGCACAGACUGUUGGGCCAUGUGAGGCGAAGUACAUCAACAUCGUGUUGGAGGGCGGCAAGGCUCAGCGGGUACGUAAUGCUACUGGGAUCCGACCAGGUCUAAGAAUACGAAUCACAAGAACCUGUUGUUGCCGUUGUAUGUAGAGUGGGCGGAAGACAGUGAUCGCAUUCUUGCGGGGCGUGACAGCGAUUAAGUGUCCAAUCAGGGCAAUGGCAGAGUACCUGUACGUCCGCUUCACGAUGGAGGGCGAGAACUAUCCAAACCCAUUGUCCUCGUCCUCCUCUUCGUCCCCCUCAUCGGCAACCUCACUGCCAGACUCACUGGACAGUUCUGAUUAUGUAUCGCUGUAGCUGUCCGUCGCCGAAGGGCCCACCGACGACCCACGGCACCCGAUCGGGCGGUCCUAGCGCCCCUAACCCUGUCGGGUCCCCCGACGGGAGCCCUCCGGGCCCCGUCGGGAGCUCCCGAUGGCCGUUUGGCAUUUUCCCCGUUUUUCGUCGGGUCCGCCCGAAAGCAUUUUUCAAAGCCUGUCGGGAUUUUCAGCACAAGUGCCAUUCCUGUCGGGACCCGAUCGGACUGUCGCACCCUGUUACCACCCGUGCCCGCUCGCGCGUGCCCGCUCGCGCGUGUAUGUUGGCCGGUUGCGAGUGUGCGGCCGCGCAUGCUACUAGGUGGCCCCGUGUGUGAGCCGCUUGGGGUGCGGCCACCCGGUUUGGUCGUGGGCGGCAUGGAGUGCCUGGUUUGGCUGUAUUCUUCUGCAGUGUAAGGGCCCUUGGCAGCUGGUCCCCGCUCCCUUUUGUUGCUCUCUCAAAGCACGUUCGUUCUGGUCAAACUUCGGCAGAGCCACGAAAAUACAGGUUAAAAGAAACAGGAGCAUGGAAACAACACAUUAUGGCACAUAAUGAAAGUUAAAUUUUAUAAAAUUUACACAUUUUUAGUUCUCCUGAACCUAUUGAUCGAUCCGGAUUGAAAUUUCACGUCUGAGGGCCUUGUGUUGUGUGGACUCAGAAUUUUUCCAUUAGCAAGUUUGUAAUUCUUAGGGAAUGUUACUCAUUUGACUCUGAUGCCCCUUCUUCUUCAUUAAGCUCCUUCCUAGGUCACGUCAGUUCUGUUGCCGCGAAACCGGCCCAACCCGCCGAGCUGCGUUAGUGGGACGAAGGGCUUUUAUCAAAUCUAACAAAAAGAAGUAUCUCAUCCCCAAGGGGGGGAUAGGAUCGCCAUCUUUCCAGACCUUGCAUUGGUCCUAAAGAUGGUUGAUGCUGCAAGUCAGGGGUUAAAAUGGUGCGGCACGCUAUCGGAUGCCAGCUGGCUGGGCCCAUUCUUAUCUCCCUGCUCCUUCGAGACAAUGUCGUCCACGCUCCUCCUUGCGACAACGCUCAUCUUGUUACUAGCCCAGGGUACCCGAUUGGCCGUGAUGCAGCAGCUAAGGGUGAAGGGACGAAUACGGAGAGGCAUUUCGGGCCUUAACGGCUCGUACAUAGCAGCUGCGCUCUUUCUGUGCGGCACACACUCAAUCCAUUUCGCUGUUGGCCUGGCGGUGCUGCGCACUUGGCCGUUUCACAUUGCCUACCAUGCCUGCUUCGCUCUCUUAUGGUGCACCAUCGCUACAUUUGCAAUCUACUCCGGACGGCUAGCUGUCGGCGUCGAUUUCCGCAUCUCCUCCAUCCCUGCGACACUGGUUUACCUUAUUAGGUGGGAUACUUUUGAAACGUGUGUACGCACGCGGUAGCCUUUAAUGUUGCGAGGGAAUCCUUUUGCCUGUCGAAGGGGGAAAUCCCCGUGCAUGUAACCUUGAACUUUUGCGUGUGUAUGCGCGUUUGUCUGUCUGUCUGUCUGCACACUCUCGUCGACGUCCACGUACAUGUCUAGGUAGAGACUCACCGUUUGCACAUGAAGCUGUUUAUGGUGCUCAAGCAUUUUGGAAAAUACGGCUAGACUUGAUGGCUUGGUCAUGGAAAUGCCCGGCUCAGUGCAGGCGUGGUUAUUACUAUGGGCCACCGAUUUAUGAAUCCAGUCAUACACUACUCCGUCUAAGCACUCUUGACAGUGGAAGUCCUAACACAGCGGUGGUCACGGCGGCGGUCCCCGACCUCCCAGCUCCUCAUACCCAUACCGCCCCGCUGCUCCACUCCACCCCGCCGCCCCCCGCCCACUGCCCCACUCGCUCCCUGCAGCCUCUACUCCUACUUCCAGCUGUACUACGACACCCACGCCAUCCCCCUGCCGUACAUCAAGGCCUCCAUUUGGACCGACAUGCUUCAGGUGGUGGUGGCGGCCAUCAUCAGUUGGUUGGGCACGAGGAGGGUCGCGCGGGAACCUAGGCUCGUGGACCUGCAGGCGCAGUUGGGCCUCAGCCCCACAUUGGGCCCAGAUGGACGAGGGCCCUACCAGCAGCUGCCCGCAGCGGAAGACGGGGGCCGUGCCGGCAGCGCCACCGCAGGCGGGAAGUCGGCGGAGGCCGGCGGGGGGGACGGUGAUGGUGGCGGCGGUGGCGACACCGACAAGAGCACUUGGAUCAGCCUGUUUGUGGACGCCUGCGCGUACGUAUGGCCCGAGUCGUUCUGGCUGCAGCUGCGCGCCGUGAUGUGUCUGCUGCUGCUGGUGGCCAUGCGAGCUCUCAACCUUGCCGUACCCAUCCUGUACAAGAAGGUUGUGGACCGUAUGGCAGAGGGGAGCAGCGGAGGUGGAGCGGCCCAGCCCGAUCAUGCAGCGGCAGCGCGGGAGGGUCGCGGCCUGGGUCUGGACCUGGGCCUGGGCCGGUUGCUGGAGUCGUGGAGGGCUGCUGGUGGUGGUGGUGGGGGUGGGGGUGGUUGGGAAGCAGGGGGCGCGGAUACCCUGAGCUACGGGGCGCUUGUGUGGCCCUGGGUGGUGCUGUACCUGGUGGCGGUGUUCUUCCAGGGCGGUGCCGGGGGCGGCGUGGUGGGCUUCAUCAACAACAUCAGGUAGGUGGAUAGGAUGGAUGGAUGGAUGGAUGAAUGCAGGCAGGCAUGUCUGGGUGGGCGGAUGGGCGGGUGUAUAUAUGAGCAUGUCGACACUCGACCGCGGGAUAACCCAUGGUCCUCACGUCCCCGUCUCCUGUCCCGCACGCCGUCCAGUCCCCGAUCCUCCCCCGGGGCCCCCCCCAGUGAAACUCUGAAUGCCGCUCCGAAUCCCGCACAGGUCCUUCCUGUGGAUCCCCGUGGCCCAGGACUCGUACAGGUGGGUGAGGGGUGAGCAGCAGUAGUGCUGGAGUCGGUGGAGGGAUGGUGGGGGAUUGGGGGAGUUGGACCCCCAGCGACCUCCCUGUCUUUCAAAUCAAUUCAAUUUUAACUACGUAACUUACGGGUGGGAUGGAGGGGUCGCGCCUCUCAGAGACCUGCUCUGCAUGCCGCCCUCAACUCUCACGAUCCGCACCCAGGGGCCGGGGGCCGGUCGGUUGACCAGUCCGGUGGUUACAAGUGUCCGGUGGUUGGCUGCAGCGAUGGCGGUGUAGGUCAUCACGCGCCAUCACGAGCUCCGCCGAUGUCGCUGAUACUGUCAAGAGAUACGGAUACUGACAUAGCUUACCGGGCUUACCCGGCCGGCCACUGCGCCUGGCUGGUUAUCGUCGCCGUAAACCUCCCCACCCCUUUCCCCGCCGCCGCAGACGCAUCAGCAUGCGCACUUUUGACCACGUGAUGGAGCUCGACCUGACCUUCCACUUGCGCAAGAAGACGGGCGAGGUGACCCGGGUGGUGGACAGGGGCACCAACGCCAUGCAGAACGUGUUGUCCACGGUGCUGUUCAACAUAUUGCCGCAGGUAGGGGAUGAUAAAGGGCAGGUAGGGAAGUGGGAGGUGAUAGGUGGUAGGGGACCUCAGUGGGUCGUCGGGAAGGAGUGCUGUGCGCUCAUGACUAGCUUCCGGGUGGCAGGCUGAGGGGGCUUUAAGAGGGGCGGGGCAGAAUCCACUGGAUGGUACUGGUGGUGCUGUUGGUGGUGAUGUGGCUGAAUGAACUCGGAAAAGUCCCUCACUGACUACUCACUGACAGAGGUCGGCACUCUCACACACACACACGGGUGGUGGCCAUGAUGAUGAUGAUGAGGGGGAUGAGGGUGAGGUUACCCGGGGAAGGAGGCCACAUCACGGAUGGGUGGGUGGGGACGGUGGGGACUGCCAGCAUGCUCGUCCAGGGUGGCCACCACCAUAGGUUGGAAAGCCCCUCUGUGUAACCCAUAUAUACACCCCCCCUACUUCACACACAAUCACUUCAGGGAGGCGCCUUUGAGCUGUGAACGGUUGAACACCCGACACAGUCGUCGCCGUCGCGCCUCGCUUGCCGCCCAACCCCUCACCCCCCCCACCCCACCCCAUCCCCCAUUCCUGACCUGACUUGGACUAUCCGUCUACCCCUGGUUUCUGCUUCAAUUGUCAAAGGUUCGUCUUACCCCUACCCCUCUACCCCUACCCCUCUACCCCUACCCCUCUACCCCUACCCCUCUACCCCUACCCCUCUACCCCUCUACCCCUACCCCUACCCCUCUACCCCUACCCCUCUACCCCUACCCCUGACCUCACCUCAUCUGAUCUGACACUGCGCUGUCUUUUCCAGCUGUCCCCACCUCCCAACCAUGUGUGUAAGUGUGUAUAUGUAUGUAUGUGUGUGCCUCCCGGAUGAGCUGCCCACCUCCAGAUAUUCGACGUGCUUGCGGCCGCCACGUACCUGGCUCAGGCGCUUGAACCCACCAUCGCCAUCAUCGUGUUUGUCACCGUGGGCUCCUACAUACCCCUGACCGUCUUCAUCACGGAGUGGCGGGCCAAGCUGAGGAGGGAGAUGAACCAGACGGACCAGGUAGCGGGGGGAGGAGGCUUACUGGGGGGAAGGAGGGAUCGCCGAGUUGUCCUUGAAAACACUAACGGGAACCAAAUUCCUGCUCCGGCUGCUCCUGCUCCCGCUGCUGCUGCUGCUGCUGCUGCUGCUGCUGCUGCUCUCACCCCGCUCCACCCCGGGGCCCCAUCUGUAGGUGAAGAGCGGGCGGGCCACGGAUGCGCUGCUGAACUACGAAACCGUCAAAUACUUCUGCAACGAGAAGUACGUGCGGAGGGUUACGGGGGUGGGGGAGCGUGGGAGGGAUUUGGGGAGGUGGACGGGAAGGGGGGGAGGGGUUUACGGGGCGGAUGCGGAUGUACCCAGAAAUACCUGCUGUAUCCCCGGACUGGAGGGCGCUGGGGGGGCUGAGCGGCUCCCGGGCUCCUGCGGUGGCGGCCGGAGCAGUGGGCCCAGCGGGAAGGGGGGGGGGCAGGGUGAGCCCGCCCUCCAGCCCCUCUCCGCAUCGCACCGGACAACAUAUGACUGACUGCUCUGAGCCCGGAAGCAGAGUCCGCUUCCGGGCCCCGUUCCUCCUCCGCUUUGGCGCCAACCUGAGUGCGCCAACUGCCCCCUCCCGUCAGUUCUACGUCUGGUACACUCUUGCCCUGGCAGCAGCUUCACUCGUUCGUUUCCCCUCCCGUCCUGCCCCCCACUCCCUACACCUACUUCUUUACGGAUUGGCUAUACUAUUCCGCUUUUUUAGUUCUGGCGGCUUAGGUAAUUAGUUUUUCCGACAUCUUCUUCACUUCGUCAUCCCGAGGUCACGGUCGCCACGGACACCUUUCGGUCAUUUCUGCGUUUGUUACUCGCUUGCCCUGGCAGCAGCUUCAAUAGUGUGUGGCUCGUCUUUCCCCCCACUCCCCUACCCCCCAGGCACGAGUCGCAGCAGUACGCCUCCGCCAUUGCUGCCUAUCAGUCCGCGGAGUUCAAGUCCAUGUCCUCCAUCAACAUGCUCAACGUGGUGCAGUCCGCCAUCAUGUUCUGCGGCAUUGCCUCGGGACUGCUGGUGUGCGCGGGUAGGAGGGGGUUGUGGCGUGCGCGGGUAGGAGGGGUUGUAGGAGGGCUUAGAGGGUUGGGUUGCAUCAGUGCCCCCCCCUCCCCUGGGUGCAAGAGGCGAGGAGGCGGCGGCACGUGGGCGAGGACCUUGCCCCUGGAACUGGUUAGGGGGGCUGGCUGACUGCCGGGCUGAAGCCCCGGCCCAUACAUACAUACAUACAUACAUACAUACAUACAUACAUACAUACAUACAUACAUACAUAUAUAUAUACAUACAUACGUCCUCUAUGUCGCAUACCCAGGUGGUGUGUCCGCCCACGUGCUGACGGUGGGAGAUGCGGUGCUGUUCCUCAGCCUUAUGGCCCAGCUGUACGGACCACUCAACUUCUUCGGGUCGUACUAUCGUACCAUUCAGCAGUACAUGGUGAGUGUCGGCGCGCAUGUGUGUGUGUGUGGUAGUGUUCUUGGAGGCGGCAACGCCGUACGUCAGUACUGCCACGACCACACCGUGGUACAGAGGCCGCCUCUGUACCUUAGAACUACCGGGGACUGUGUUCACCCCCCUCCCCCUGGCAGCAGCUUCACUCGUUCGUGGUUCGUCGUUCCCCCCUUCUCCCCCCUUCUCCCCCCUCCCUCAGAUCGACAUGGAGAACCUGAUGGAGCUGCUCGAGCGGCGGUCGGUGGUGGAGGAGAGCCCGGCGGCCCGGGAGCUGGUGGUGACUCAGGGUAGGUGGGGGUAUUGUACGAAAUGAGGGGGGAAGGGGGGGAGGGAGGGGGGGUGGGGGGAGGGAGGAGGGGAGGGAGGGGGGGAGGGAGGGGGGGUGGGAGGGGGUGGGAGGGGGAAGGUGCGUUCAGUGUGUGUGUGUGCGUGUGUGUGUGUGUGUGUGUGUUCUCCCUCGCUCCCUCCGGUUGCCCCUCAACACAUUAUAAUAAACCACAUCACAUGUUGCCCCGCUCACCCCCGCACGCUCUUCCAGGCGAGCUGGUGUUUGAUGACGUGUCUUUCCAGUACGACCGGGGGAAUCUGGUGCUGCGCCGCGUGAGCUUCCGGGUGCCCGGGGGGAGGACCGUCGCGUUCGUGGGGGCGACUGGCAGCGGCAAGUCCACCAUCACCAGGCUCAUAUUCAGGUGGGGGGGAGGGGUAAGGGGGGGGAUGCCCGUAUGUCUUAAUGAUCUGAGUGUUGCGAUGAUGGAAAUGCCAAGGAGGGUGCACGUGUUCGUAUGUAUGUAUGUCUAUGUGUCCUUGGUGGCGCCGUAGAGUGCUGCAGCCGGCCAGGGGUUUCCACCCCUCCGCUGAGCCCUCCCUCCCCCCCGGGGCCAUAUCGGGGUGAGGGGACUGAGCGGCUGCUCCGUGUACACACAUACACAUACACACACUUCCCCCCCACCCCCGGGUGCCCCCUCAGGUUCUACGACGUGUCCUCCGGGGCUAUCCGUGUGGACGGUCAGGACGUGCGGGAGGUGACCCAGGCCUCGCUGAGGAGGGCGGUGGGCAUGGUGCCGCAGGUGGGGGUGAGGGUGGGGGUGGGGGGCCCUCGCCGGGACAUACAUACACACGUACAUACAUACGUACAUACUUGCAUGGGGGAGUAAGCUGAGUUCGUUGCCUUGUGCUCGGCACCCGCCGCCAGCUGCCCGUGUGGUGUGCUGUGGCAUGGCGCUGCUAGUGGGCGGUGGGGGGAGAAGGAAGGAAGUCACCGCCACCCCCAACCCCCACAAGCCUGCACGGCACACGGCGGGGCGGGGUGGGGUGGGGGAGUUGUUGACGGCUCGCCGGAGAGUCGCUCUGCAUUAGGACCAGGUGAAGUUUAUGUGUAUGUGUAUGUGUAUGUAUGUCAGAAGUGAAGUCCAUCCGCGUCAGACAUACGUACAUACACUUACACCCACAUACAUGCAUGCAUACAUACGCAUAUGUACGCACACAUACAUACUCCAAUUUCCUGCUCAGAUUUUAACAUCACCCACACCCACCCACACACACACACCCCUUGCUAUGCUCCGCAGGACACGGUGCUGUUCAACGACACCAUCAUGCACAACAUCCGGUACGGCAAGUUGUCGGCCACAGAUGAAGAGGUGCGCGUGCCGUGAAGUCAGAUGUGGGCUCCUGUGGGGCUGUGUGUGUGUGUGUGGUGGGUUGGAGACUUCCGCCCGCCCGCCCUAUGUAUGUACGUAUGUAUGUAUGUUGUUACAGGGUGGUUAACUUCGCCAGCGGCCCCCUUUCCCGGGGCAGUCCCUGCUCUCCCCUGCUAGAGGGGCACCCUAAUCCGUCACCCCAUCCGACUUCAGAAUGUAUUCGUUGGGUUCGGCAACUCACCACCAGCAUCCAACCAAAUCUAGCGGAUCAACGGCGCAUCAACUUAGUUCCUGGUUAGCUCGCAAGUUGAUUUUAUCACGUCCUACAUCGUCCAUAUGAUGG
rnacentral:lncRNA from 1 species